CAUGAAAGCAGCCUCACCUGAUUGGUUAAGGAUUCUUUUUUUUUCCACCAAGAGACCCAACAACAAUACCUGGCUUCCCUUCAGACAACAGAGCAAUACAGUAUUUGGCCAUGUAAGGUUUAGAAGAGAAAGAGAAGAGAAAUGAGGAAGAGAUGAAGUGACACAAGAGAGCAGAGAUGGGAUCAAGUCACCCAUGUGCAAGUCUCAAACUAACCUGUGCUGAACGGAACUAUGACAUUGAGAACUGGGAGCUGCUGGUGGUCAAACUUGCACUGGAAGAGUGGAGGCACUGGCUCGAGGGGGCGGAGCAUCCAUUUCAGACAGGUCUGUUUCAGAUUCCCCCUCGAGCCAGGACACCAUUUUGCCCCCAACUCGCAUUGUUGGAAUGGAGACAUGGGAGGUCGAGUUGGCCAUCCGGGAGGCUCUCCGUGUUCAGUCUGACCCUGGCAACGGUCCUCCUGGCAGGAGUUUCGUUCUUGACUUGUUGAGAACACAACUUCUGCAGUGGGGUCACUGUUCCCGUUUCACCUGUCAUCCAGGAGCUAACCAAACGCUGAAGCUUCUCAAACACUACUUAUGGUGGGCCACUACUGACUCAGACACUCGCCCCUUUGUUGCUGCCUGCCAGGUAUGUGCUCGGGGUAAGGCUACUCACACUCCUCCUGCAGGUCUCCUUUUUCCCUUGCUGGUUCCCAGCCAUCCCUGGUUGGUUCCCAGCCAUCCCUGGUCUCAUAUCACCAUAUAUUUUGUCACCUGAUUGUCUCCCUCUCAAGGUAACACUGUCAUCCUAACCAUCAUGGAUCGUUUCUCCAAAUCUGUGCAUUUUGUGGCCUUACCUGUAGUGGCUAUCUGUCUUCUGUGUCAAUAAUCAAAAAACUCAAAAAUAUCAAAACUAUAAUAAAACUAAAUCAAAUCAAAUGGCCACUGAGACACCUUGUGAGUGAAUUUAUGCAGGAUAAACAGCGUCCAUUGUCCAUGUUUCUUUGGUUUCUUUAUUCUCCAUUGGCAUGGCCCCCCAGUUCACAUCCCAGGUUUGGAGAGCCUUUUGUUCUGCUCUGGGGGAGUCUGUCAGCCUGUCCUCUGGUUUCCAUCCCUAAUCUAAUGGCCAAGCAGAAAGAGCUAAACAAGACCUUUAAGCUGCUCUGCAAUGCGUAACAGUUCAAAAUCCAGCAUCAUGGAGUUCCCAUCUGGCUUGGAUUGAAUAUGCUCACAACUCCCUCUCCAGCUCGGCUACAGGUAUGUCCCCCUUUGAGUGGGCGCUUGGUUAUUUACCACCUUUUUCCUGCCCUGGAAGCAGAAACUGCCAUUUCGUCUGUUCAACACCAUCCUCGCCAUAGCCGUAAGGUCUGGAGGGAUGCUCGCUCCGAAGAGCGCUCCCUCUGCUCUGUCGAAGAAGAACCGUAGAUUGGCUGACCGACGCCGCAGUCCUGCUCCCACCUACAAACAAGGUACAUCCUGUGUUUCACGUCUGCUGCUCAAACCUGCAUCUGAGAGUCCUCUGUGCCCUCCGUCUGAUCCCCCUCCAUCCCUCCGGGUCGUUGAAGGCGGUCCAGUGUACUCCAUUCAGCGGCUCUUGGAUCUACAGUGCCUGGGUAGAGGGUUCCAGUACCUGGUUGACUGGGAGGGUUAGGGCCCUGAGGAGUGUUCUAUUAUUGUGGAUCCUACCAUGGUGAGAGACUUCCAUCGUGCUCAUCUCGAGAAGCCUGGUGAGUCACCAGGAGGCCAUCGUUGAGGGGGGUACUGUCAUGGCCACAUCCAGUCUCCCCUGUUCUGUUCUCUUCCCCAUUUUUUCUUUUCUUCUCCCUAGGGGCGGGUCCAGGCGUGGUCAACGGCUGCAGGGCACACACCUUUUCUCAAUCAACUCAUGACCUGUCUGUUUAAAUACACCGGCUCACUCACUCAUCGCCAGAUCUUUGCAGUUCUCAGCCCCGUUGGCUCACCUCCUAGUUUUUUCCUCGUACACUCGAACUGUUUUGCCUUCUCACUCAAUAACCAGCAAUUCUGUUUUCUCCACUUCAGACUCCAGCCCUGUUCUGCACACUGGCGCCCUGGAUCCGUUCCCAACCCUGAUCUCUGCCAUUCCUCCCUCUCCACCCAGUUCUCGUCUGGCGCUCAGAUUUUCCGGACCCUGGACUCACCUGCUUUCCCUUAUCUGCAACCCGAUCCCUAUCAAUAAAGAUCCUUUGUAAUCCGUAUUUUUGGUGUCAGCAUAUUGGAUUCACCUUGUAAUGUUCAUUGUCACGUGUUGAUGCUGCAAUUAUUUAAAUAUUUUUUGGUAUUUUGGUCCAUAUUUCUUUAGAAUGAGACAUAAUAGGAUUCACAACCUUAUCAGAAUGCUGGGAGAAACUAUUAAUAUGAGUAAAUUGGGCUGAAAGUUAUCUAUUUUGCUAAUUUGGUAAUCUCAUAAAAUAUGUGAUAUAAUCUCAAGUCUGGCAGCCCCAAUCCUCCUUUAUCCUUUGGAAAGCACAUUUUGUCCAAUCUAACCUUAAUUGCCUGCAACACUGGUUAAAAAAUUUGUGUUGGCAUUUCCUCCACAAUCCUGCUUAGUUUACAGUUUUUUACAACCGCUACAAUACUUUUAAUGCUUUUUCAAAACUCUUCACACACUUACCACAACAUCAGCCUGUGUGGGCUAUACAAUUAACACAAUUCUUCUCCUUUUGAAACAAAAUACACGCAUUUUACACGUUUAAAAUUAGUUUUAACUCCUUUUACACACAAGCUCAAUCAAGAUCCAAGCAGUAGAUGUCAACUCGUGAAUUUUCAAUUGCUUUCACAUGGUUUGUCAAAACAGAAAACCUCAUGUUGAAAACUAAUGGAUUGAUGAUUACAUUGAUCACAGCUGAUUCUGGUCUCACGUACCUCACCUGCAAAGUGAUUCAGUUUGUGUUAUUCCAUCAGUUGUCAGUGUUUUUUAUGACACUGUGCUGUGACUGACUAAAUGUUUCUGUUGGAAGACAAUGUGUGUCAGUGCUUUGGUAGAUUUGGUGAACUGUGUUAGUGUAUUAUUGUAUUUUGGAAUUCUGUGUUUAGUUACAAUGAGUGAUCUUGACAAUGAAAUUAACUGUUAGGGGAAUUGUGUGUAUUGUGUGAUGUGUGUUAACAGUUUUGAAAAAGUGUUUAAGGUUCUGACAAACGGGUCAUAGCAGUUGUAAAAAACUGUAAUCCCCAUGUAUCUCCCAUCCCUUUUGGUACCCAAAACCAAAAUUUGUUAUUAGAUAUGACCUACAUAGCCCUGAUAUAGGUAAAGGUUCUGAUUUAGUCAGUUAAUU